AGUGAACGCUGGCGGCGUGCUUAACACAUGCAAGUCGAACGAGAACGGGUUAUAGCUUGCUAUAAUUGUCAGCUAAGUGGCGCACGGGUGAGUAAUGUAUAGGUAAUAUGCCUCUUACUAAGGGAUAACAAAUGGAAACGUUUGCUAAUACCUUAUACUCCUUAUUAACUAAAGUUAGUAAGGGAAAGAUUUAUUGGUAAGAGAUUAGCCUGUAUUGUAUCAGUUAGUUGGUGGGGUAAUGGCCUACCAAGACUAUGACGCAUAACUGGUUUGAGAGGAUGAUCAGUCACACUGGAACUGAGACACGGUCCAGACUCCUACGGGAGGCAGCAGUGGGGAAUAUUGCACAAUGGACGAAAGUCUGAUGCAGCAACGCCGCGUGGAGGAUGACACAUUUCGGUGCGUAAACUCCUUUUAUAUAAGAAGAUAAUGACGGUAUUAUAUGAAUAAGCACCGGCUAACUCCGUGCCAGCAGCCGCGGU
rnacentral:rRNA from 1 species